GUGUCCUGAUUUUGGAUAUUUUGCAUUUCUGCAGGUUACUUUUUAGAUCACUAAUCAAAAUUAAAUAAUGCCUACUCUUAGUUAAAAUGAUAAUUUUUCAUAGGCUGCAAAGAGAAUGGCAAUCUUAAAAAUAAAUGCUUUUGUUCUAAAUGAAUUCUUUCUGAAAUAAUUUGCUUAUGUGAGUAAUUUGUAGAGAUAGUUAUGAUAGAAGGGUUAUGACUAGAAGUAAUGGGAUGAAAUGAAGUAGCAAAAAAUUUGGGAUGAAAUUAGAAAAGUAAGAAAAAAUUAACAAAAAAAAAAGAAAAAUAAGGUUUUAAGCUUUUAGACUGUGUGAAAGUCUUCUUGGAGAAUAGGAAAAAGUCCUGGCUAUUCAAAAUAUUAGUUAAGCCUCAACAUGAUGAUGAGGGUGUUCAUUCAGCAGGAAACAUCCCAGUGCUUUGUAAACACCAAGAUUAUUCUCAAGCAUGCUUCUAAUGUUAUCCCAUAAAUCCAGAGCAGGUACAAUAUUGGUGUCUGUGAGUAAACACUGAAUUUUAAUUCCAUCCCAAGUGAUUAUUCCCCAGAGUAAUUUUCUUUAGAGGGAUAAACUAUCUGACCCUAUCUACUUGGAGGCAAGGGAAUGUUUGUCUUGAGGAGUUAUGAUCUGAUCUAUUCUGGAGCUGCAGAACUGAAGGUGGGAAACAAGCUCUCUGGGUGAAUCUGGUUAAGGUUCUCUUGAUGACAGUCCUUAAGUCACAAAAACAUACCACCAGGCCAGGCACGGUGGCUCACGCCUGUAAUCCCAGUGCUUUGGGAGGCUGAGGCGGGCAGAUCACGAGGUCAGGAGAUCAAGACCAUCCUGGCUAACACGGUGAAACCCCGUCUGUACUAAAAAUUCAAAAAUUAGCUGGGUGUGGUGGCGGGCCCCUGUAGUCCCAGCUACUCGGGAGGCUGAGGCAGGAGAAUGGCGUGAACCCGGGAGGCAGACCUUGCAGUGAGCCGAGAUCGCGCCACUGCACUCCAGCCUGGAUAGAGCGGGACUCCGUCACAAAAACAAAACAAAACAAACAAACAAAAAGCUACUACCAACCCAGAUACCAGUGUGGGUCUCAUUCGGUUUAUCUAGGCAUUUUUCUUAGCACAGUUUUUGUAAGUUCUCCAGGUGGUUCUAAAGCAUAGCCAAGACUGAGGACCACCACCAGAACUGCUGAGACUUAUUUACAAACCAUCUCUUACCUGCAGUACAAACCUGCCUCUGCUCUCCUGAUUCUUGUGAGCCUUUGAUUACCGUCUGUGCAGUUUUCCCUGUAUUCAAGAAAGAUGGGCUAUAAUGCCAAAGUUCUUAAGCCUUUUAGUUCCUUGUGGCUUGGAGAAUCUAACAAAAGCAAUAGACCCUCUUCCAGGAAAAUGCACCUUAUCUUGGAUAUAAUUUAAGCAUCACUUAGAAUCCCUGAAUCCCAUCUCUAAAAGCACAGAUUAAAGUCUCUAUCUUAUCUAGAUAAUGUCAGAAACCAGAUGCUCCUAUUCUUCUUUAACUUGAGUUGUUGCUUCUAAAACCUGUGCCUGAGCACAGGUGAUAUGGUUUGGCUCUGUUUCCCCACUCAAAUCUCAUCUUGAAUUGUAAUCCUUGUAAUCCCCAUGUGUUGAGGGAGGGAAGUGAUUGGAUUAUGGGACGGUUUCCCCCAUGCUGUUCUCAUAAUAGUGAGUUAAUUCUCACGAGAUCUGAUGGUUUUACAAGCGUCUGACAUUUCCUCUGCAUGUUCUUCUUCUUCUGCUGCCUUAUGAAAAAGGACGUGUUUGCUUCCCCUUCCAUGAUGAUUGUAAGUUUCCUGAGACCUCCAUAGCCAUGCAGAACGGUGUUGAUUUCUUAUAAACACCCUGCUCCCAAACAUGAUCUCAGCAUCCGCAGAAGCCAAACUGUGACACCCACACUGGAGGACAGUCCCAGGACCUGGCUGAUUGUGAGGAUGCACACCUGACAUCAUCCAAGCUAGACCAGAGACUCUCCCCUGCAGAUUGAGAAUGGUGCUGGAGAGGGCUGGUUCAACUCUGCAAUGAGGCCAGACUUAGGAUGACAUUGUUGUGUACCUGGCAUGAAAGGAGAGUACCUGCGACUCUUAUGAGACCAUCCCAGCCCUCCAUGCCCUCCUUCCUUCAUCCUUUCUAUAUACUUACAUAAUAUAUUUUAAAUAAAAUCAAUAAUCAGUGUUACAGUUUUAUGGCUAUGAAGGUAU
rnacentral:lncRNA from 10 species